GGAGAGGUGACAGAGUGGUCGAUUGUGCAGCACUGGAAAUGCUGUGUGCGGGAAACCGUACCGGGGGUUCGAAUCCCCCCCUCUCCG
rnacentral:tRNA from 1 species